ensembl:lncRNA LINC01416 long intergenic non-protein coding RNA 1416
GAUUUGCUUCUGAGCACUAGAAAGCUCAACUAGCUCAGCAGCUCUUUAUGACCUCUGGCACAGACAGCAAAUUCCUUCCAGCUCAGCUCGUGGAGCUGGGCUCUGUACUGCCUUAAAACCAGCCCCGGCUCCUCAAUUACCUUCUGCCCUUAUUCAUGCCCUGCCAAUUCCUUUUUGCUGGAAUCUGAAUGAAGCCACUGCAUAUGCCAAGGCUGAGAAUCGCUUGAGAGGACUUAUGGGCCUUUUCCUUGAAGGAAAAGAUGGCACUUGGAACUUGGCCGGUGGAAGCAUCAUUCAGAUAUGAUUCAUUACAGGUAAGAGAAAGAAGACAGGAAUCUGCAGAAGAAAUCUUCCCAUAAGUCUGAUAUUUCUGGAAAAGGGGACAGAGUUGUCUGCUCUUUGUGACUUAGACUGGGCCAGUGCCGAAAUCACAAGUCCACAGAGUAUGCCUGAAGGAAGAUGGUUCUCAAUGCACCCACUGGGAAAAUGCACUCAUCCUCAAAUGACUGAGGCCGUUGUUUCCUUGCCUUUUAAGAUCUCAUCCCAGGAGGGAUUCUUCUCACUUUCUUUCAGUCCUGAACUCAGAGGAUUGUGCUGCUUAGGGAAGCCACCUCAUUAGGACAACUCAUUUUCCCUUCUCUCUAGUAGAGGUUACUGCCACAAGCUGAACACAGUGAAAAAUAAACUGUGAACUUGAAGAGGGAGGAGGGAAGGUGGAGGUGUUUAUCUCAAGCUUAAGAGAAGUUCUGCAAAAGGCGUUUUUUAGUUUGCCCAGUUUCAUUUCUUUAAUCCCUGGUUUCUCUGUGGUUUUGCUGUAUGCUUGCCCAGACACGUCACAUGCACCAGCCUUAUAACUAGAAAAGUCUCUGGCCUCACAAGAAGAGGGAGAUCUCCCUGAAAAUAAUCUCCGAAGGGUUGGUCUGGAGCAGGAAAUGAGAGUGAAAGGCACAUCUGUAGGAGGGGUUCCGCUUGCUCACACUCGGAAUGUGCUCGCCCUCUCCUCCUCUCUUUGAUGACAGGAAGUGCACAUACUCCAAGCUCCAUUUCCUCAAUGUCCCAGGUGAAAUUAUCCCCGGAGAGAGGGAUAACCCUAACUAUUAAAAAGAUGUAUGCUUGAUUCAAUGUUCCAAAUAAUAUUCAGCACAAACGAAUCUCUGGACACCUAAGCUGUAAUAGACCAUGAGAUUUGGAAGAGGAUGAGGAAGAGUACUAUCCAAGGAACCGGCUAUCAUCACAAAUUCUGCAGACUCAGACACCUCUCGACAGCAUGUCUCCAACAACCCCGCCCCCCAUUCAGAGCCACUCUUCCGGAAAUCAACUCACAGUUCACCUCCUGUCUAAAUUCUGGUGUAGAAAUGGAAACCUCUUGUAAGAUGUCAUAGAUAUUUUGGCUGAAUCAUCAGCAGAAGUUCUUGUCCAUCCCUUAGACUUAGGAUGGCCUGGUUAGUAUGGUUUGAUGGGACAAAGCUUGAAUACCAUGACCAGAAGCAUUUCUGUGUUCUCCUGUCUAAGGGUAUUUGUUAUGUCUCAGGAAAGCUGGAUGACUAUCUCAUUCUCUGAUGAUGGAGAAGAAUACUCACAACCUGCUCCCCACCUCCCACUGUGAAAUGCCAAUAUGGUGGAAACAGAAGGGAGAAGAAAGAACAGCGGAGACACUGAUCAUUCGAAACCAAAGAAGCAGCUCAUGCAUAAUGGAGAGCUAUCUGCAUGCAAAUUGCUAGGAGUACUUCCUACUUUUCUGGGAUAUUGUAUUUAGCCCUCUGUACUCUAUUCAGAAGAGUUCUGUUCCCCAGGCCAAGAAGGAGUCACUACAGUGUCAUUUAACUCCUUGCUGCUCCUGGAAGCAAGAGUUUCCCUACGGACCCAAUGUGACUUCGUCUAGUGCCGCUGCCACUUUUGCCAGAUUAUGUCUCUCAAACUUUCAGAUGUUAUAGGAGAAAGCUGCUUAAUUUCUGAGCAUCAAUUUUCAAGAAUUUUUUUUGAAGAGUGAGAAAAAAUUCCGGAAGCAUGAUUUCUGAAAUGCCCCAGAGACAGCUGAGAUAAUCCUGUCAUCAUUGAGCCUGAGUGAUUCAUCAAUGAUUCAAAUGACCAAUCAACCAAAAACAAAGAGGCAAAAGACUUUCAUGAUGUUCAUUUGCUAGAAUCAAGAUCAUCUAGAAAAUAAAUGACUGAUGUAGAAAAUGUAGGAUACAGUUUCAUAAUUAGCCUUUAGGGGGAAUAAAACCUACAGAAGUAACGCCUACCAGAAAUAAUCACUGUUGAUCUUAUUUAUCAUGUGUUUUACUAGGUAAUGGAAAAAUACAUCUACUUAUGGAUUACCUAGUAGGUUAAACACUACAACCAUUUUUUAAGUUACAAACUAUUUUUUAAACUGAGAAACACUAGUAAAAACAUAAAAAAAGCAAGCCACAGUCUGGGAGAAAAGAUAUAUAUCUUUGAUAAGGAAUUUAUGUCCAGAAUACAUAAAUAACUCCCAUAAAUUGAUACUAAGAGGAUAAUCAGUAAUAAAAAUAUAAAAAACAAAUUUUUAAAGUGAACAAAAUACAUGAAUAGGCACUUCACCAAAGAAGACAUCUAAAUGGUCCAUAAAGACAUGAAAAGACACUCCAAAGCACUAGUAAUCAGCAAAUUAAACUAGCGAAUUAAAACCACAAUGAGAUGCUACUACACACGUAGUAUAAUGCCAAAAAGUAAAAAGUAAAAGCACAAAGUUCUGGUGUGCUUAUCCUUGAUGAGAGUGUAAAAUGGUACCACCACUUUGGAAAAUUGUGUGGCAUUUCCUAAUGCAGUUAAACUAUUACAUAUGUUCCAUCCUAGGUGUAUACUGAGGAUAAAUAAAUGCAUAUGUUAAUAAAAGACUGCGGGAAUAAGAAUGUUCUAAGCAGCUGUGUUCAUAAUAGCCAAAAAGCAGAAAUAUCACAAAUGUCUAUCUGCAAGAGAGUACAUAUCAGUGGACAUCUAUGUUGUUGAAUGUAUCAAUAGCACAUUCCCUUUUAUUGCUGAGUGUUAAUCUACUGUGUGAAUACAAGAAAAACUCCUCAACUUCCAAGUAGGUGCCAGAACCUGUAUUAGUAUCCUACAGCUACUACCACAAUCUGUAACUUGCUUUUUCAAUAAAAUAU